rnacentral:rRNA from 1 species
UACGGGGGGGGCAAGCGUUGUUCGGAAUUACUGGGCGUAAAGGGCUCGUAGGUGGCCAACUAAGUCAUACGUGAAAUCCCUCGGCUUAACCGGGGAACUGCGUCUGAUACUGGAUGGCUUGAGGUUGGGAGAGGGAUGCGGAAUUCCAGGUGUAGCGGUGAAAUGCGUAGAUAUCUGGAGGAACACCGGUGGCGAAAGGCGGCAUCCUGGACCAAUUCUGACACUGAGGAGCGAAAGCCAGGGGGAGCAAAACGGG